AUUGGGUGAGACUCACUCGCUCUGAUAAAAUAGACGAGGUCAUAAUUAGCUGUAUCAAUU
rnacentral:misc_RNA from 1 species